ensembl:lncRNA
GUAACACUGUCGCUUUUAUCAAAUGAAACAUGAGGGGUGACACUGACGUUUUCCUUUGGUCGUCAUGAAAAAACCAUAAGGGGUAACACUGUUGUUUUUUAUUGAUAUUUAUCAAUUAAAACAUAGGGGGUAACACUGUCGCUUUUAUCAAAUGAAACAUGAGGGGUGACACUGUCGUUUUCCUUUGGUCGGGGUUAAGACUGUUGUUUUAUAUAACCUCAGACAAAAUUAAUUUACAAAUCUCAGUGGGAAGUGGAGAGAGCUGUGAGCUAACCCCCGGGAGACUGGGGUUCAAGUCCGGUUGAUGUUUUCUGUUGGAAGACUCUUAUUUCUAUUUCAUGUGAAUUAUAAAGUCAAGUAUAACCUUUGUGAUGACUUUAUCCGGUGUCUUGAUGGUGCAUUGUUAAGUUCGGAGGUUAACACUCUAAGCAGCUCAUGUUCGGAUCCCCGCAAAAACGUCAACAGGGCUUACCACUGUUGUUAUUUAUUGGUCAACAUGGAAAAAACUUGAGGGGUAACACUGUCGAUAUUUAUUAAAUAAAACAUAGGGGAUGACACUGUUGUUUUCUUUGGUAGUCAUGAAAAUAAACAUAAGGGGUAUCACUGUUGUUUUUUAUUGGUCGUCAUAAAAAAAAACAUAAGGGAUAACACUGUUGUUUUCUAUAGGUCGUCAUGAAAAAAAACAUAAGGGGUAACACUGUAGAUUUUUAUCAAUUAAAACAGUGGGUAACAAGGUCGUUUUUAUCAAAUGAAACAUGAGGGGUGACACUGUCGUAUUCCUUUGGUAGUCAUGAAAAAAACGAUACGGGGUAACACUGUUGUUUUUUAUUGGUCGUCAUGAAAAAAAACAUAAGGGGUAACACUGUUGUUUUUUAUUGGUCGUCGUGAAAAACAACAUAAGGGGUAACACUGUUGUUUUUUAUUGGUCGUCAUGAAAAAAAAACAUAAGGGGUAACACUGUUGUUUUUUAUUGGUCGUCGUGAAAAAAACAUAAGGGGGGUAACACUGUCGUUUUUUAUUGGUCGUCAUGAAGAAAAACAUAAGGGGUAACACUGUCGAUAUUUAUUAAUUAAAACAUAGGGGGUAACACUUUCGUUUUUAUCAAAUGAAACAUGAGGGGUGACACUGUCGUUUUUCUUUGGUCGUCAUGAAAAAAUACAUUGGGGGUAACACAGUUGUCUUUGUCAAAUAAAAUAUAAGGGGUAACACUGUCGUAUUUUAUCGAAGUUAGAAAAUCCAGUAUCGUGACUGACAACACUACUAGAAACGCGAUUGUGAUUAUUCAGUUAGAGCUACAAGAAACUUGAAAGUUAAAGAAGACAUAUCUUUGCUACUACCUCUGACAUUUAGUUAUGUACAUUUGCAUAAAAUCAUGCAGGUCUACAUAUAACUUGGCGAUAGCUUUAAUAGGUUGCAACGGUGGACUGAUAUCACUUCAUGGCACGAUGUGACCUCUCGAUAAAUAAGGAAAAAAAGAGAAGUUUGUUCUUUUUUAAACACAACAUGUGUGGAAGCUAACAUUCAGCUUCAGUCUGAGCUAGGAUGAUUUUUCUAAGCCCCCCCCGAAACCAGGCCGGGUGCCUGGCAAAAAGAGGCCCGUUCAUGAUUCUGAUUAUAAUUUGGGCAAGUGAACAUUACAUUCGGGCAAGUUGAACCUGACCUGUACUUGCCCGAUGGGCAAGUGCUUUUAAAACCUUAGUGUCAACCCCAGAUUGUGUUUAUUUCCUUUAGUACAUAGUAUAAAGUGGAGUGGAAAGCACAAGAUUAAGAGUAAUAAAAUCUGGAACUUAAAUCGGUCGAUUCAAUCAUACUAUACUGCAGCAGUCAAAAAAUGAGAUCCAUCAUUUAAAUUCCACAUUUAUUAGAACAAAGAUUCUACUAAACCUUUUUAUUUUUCUUCAAAGUCUCCUUCAACCUAUGGUUUGUGGCGUUGCAUAGGUAUUCUACCUAAAGAGUUAUUCGGUCAUGGGUCAAGAAAGAACAAGGACAAUACAUUCAGGAUAUCGAGUGUGAACAGAAGUGAAAUUAACGUUUGAUCAAAUUAAGACAAAUGGAUGUGUGUGUGUGUGGCGUGUAUUCUAAUGCGGACACCUUCUCUCCGUCUCACAUCUCACAUCAGCAUUUCCUUCUUUUAAAAAAGUGCUUGCUAGUUUCAUAUAAAGCUAGUGUUCAUGAACAAUGGAACACAGUGGUUGUUGCCUGGCAGUUUGUUGGUACCUGUGAUUACAGGUUGACGACUUUAGAUUCGACAGCAGAGUGUACCGACGUUGUGUUGAAACAAAAAUGGUUGAGAAGUAUAUAGGUUUAGGUACAUGUCCCUACCUAAACAUCACCAAUUCGGGAAGGAAUCGAGCAAUGCUUGUCUCUAGGUCCCUGCAUUGCUUUGUCCACUAACACUGAAUAAACAACAAACUGACCUACAUUUUCCUUCUCACCGUCAUAAGAAUAUUCGAGAAAUUGUUAAAAAUACCACAAAGCAAAGGGUUACAUUUUUUGGCAAUGGCAGGAAUACAUGGUGAAAGAAAAAAGGCAUGUGGAUAAGCGUAUUCAGGACUCAAGUUGUAAAUAGAUUACUGGAAACAUCUCCUUACACACGUGGCUUCCCUCUUUAAUACUCUGGGGAGCUUAAUGCCUUCUUUCAUCUUCCUGCAGCCAAACAGUGGCUCCCUCGAGUGGGGUAGUGGGGGUCGUGUCCCUCCCUGUAUGCAUCCCCUCCUAUGCAUGUUCAAAAUAUCUCUGGGCUUCAUCCAACAGAGAUAUAUUUGCAUCGCCGAGCGUGAGCUGAGUGCACCCUCUGCCUAAUCACCUCUAUGCUACGCAGAGGAUACACACACACACACACACUCGAACACACACACACUCGAACACAGAGGACCCCCCCCCUCAGGGUAAACGUAAUAUUGUGUAUUGCACAGGAAGUGUGUCUGUGUGUGUGUGCAUGGUAUUAUUACAUAGCUAAUGCCUGUGAUUAGAGGGUGAACGUAGUUGGAAAACAAGGGUGCAUUAGGAAGGGGUGGGAACCGAGGCAUUUCCCUUGAUGAAAAUAAAUUACUAGGCUGAUGAAAGCUCACCGUGGCACAAUAACAGACAUGGAGACAACACACUGCCGUCCACGUCGUGUGCAAAAUCAAUGAGACCCUAGUACCAACAUCGUGGUGUGACCGGGUACAUUCAUGUUCUAGCGGUUAAAAAUAAAAUAAAAUAAAAACAUCCACAAACGGUGAGGUGUCCGGUUUUGCCGCCGGCCUCGAUGACAAAGCGGCGGCCAUUUUGUUGUUGACGCGCGGAGGCGUGCGCUCGGAGGAACCACGUUGAGCCUGGCGACGACAACGCUUUGUGUGUGAGACGCACAUCUGCCGUCCCCCGGGCAGAUCUGUGAUGGCGGCCUUGCCAAGCGGUUAGAUUUGGAUUUGUUUUAAAGCUGCAUGACAACGAAAGGCUUUGGAAUGUGAAAAAAUAGACACUGAGUGCGCACACACACACACACACACACGCACGCACGUGAGGAGAGCAGCACAAACACCGGUGGCGAAUGUCUUUGAGUGCGCAAGAAAAAAAAACUAAAUAUAUAUAGAAAUACUCUCACGCGAUACUAUCAUAUAAAAAUGUAUACUAUAUUUGUCUGAUAAAGAACCCUGCAACGAGAAUCACCGAUACAGUGAUGACCCCCCCCUUCCCCCAACCCCGCCCAAACCAUUUGGCACCUGGUUCCCUUCCACGUUCCUCCUCAGUGUCUUUGCCAUCAGAGUGGAGGAGGAGGAGGGUGGGGCGAAGGGUUUUUAUUGAUAGUCCAGGGGGUAGUGGAGGUGCUGCGGUCAGGGAGACUUCCGCAGUGUGUUGUUGAAGGUCCAGCCUUCUCCCUGCACAUCGAGGGAAGAGGAGAGAGUUGGUGAACUGAGAAAAUAUAUUUUCAGUAUUUUGUUUCGUUUUAGCAGGUCACAAUUUUUUUGGACGUCUUCUCAACUUGGAUCGCUGCAGAGUUUGACAGAACGCUACGAUUGCCUCGGCUCAUUAUUUUAUCCUCGUACUCCAAUCUGCGCGGAGUUCACGGACGGUGGGGCACACAAAUUGAAACUCGGGAGCUGCUUUCGUGAUAAUAUCUUGUCGACGGAAAAGUGAUAGUGAAACGUUUUGAGGAACAAACCGAGGAGAGCAGACAACUUGUUGGAGGGGAAUUUGGAAAAUGUCACUAUUUGGAAUGUCUCAAAGUCAUGUCGGAAACAUCAC